UGGGGGCCUUAACCAUGCAGUCGAGGGGUAUAAGCCUUUUUCGUUUGAGACCGGCGCACGGGUGCGUAACGCGUAUGCAAUCUGCCUUUCACAGAGGGAUAGCCCAGAGAAAUUUGGAUUAAUACCUCAUAGUAUUACCACUCGGCAUCGAGAUGUAAUUAAAGUCACAACGGUGAAAGAUGAGCAUGCGUCCCAUUAGCUAGUUGGUAAGGUAACGGCUUACCAAGGCGACGAUGGGUAGGGGUCCUGAGAGGGAGAUCCCCCACCCUGGUACUGAGACACGGACCAGACUCCUACGGGAGGCAGCAGUGAGGAAUAUUGGUCAAUGGGCGCAAGCCUGAACCAGCCAUGCCGCGUGCAGGAUGACGGUCCUAUGGAUUGUAAACUGCUUUUGUACGGGAAGAAACACUCCGACGUGUCGGAGCUUGACGGUACCGUAAGAAUAAGGAUCGGCUAACUCCGUGCCAGCAGCCGCGGUAAUACGGAGGAUCCAAGCGUUAUCCGGAAUCAUUGGGUUUAAAGGGUCCGUAGGCGGUCUUGUAAGUCAGUGGUGAAAGCCCAUCGCUCAACGGUGGAACGGCCAUUGAUACUGCAGGACUUGAAUUAUUGGGAAGUAACUAGAAUAUGUAGUGUAGCGGUGAAAUGCUUAGAGAUUACAUGGAAUACCAAUUGCGAAGGCAGGUUACUACCAAUGGAUUGACGCUGAUGGACGAAAAGCGUGGGUAGCGAACAGGAUUAGAUACCCCUGGUAGUCCACGCCGUAAACGAAGGGAUACUAGCUGUUGGGGGGCGAACUUCAGUG
rnacentral:rRNA from 1 species